rnacentral:rRNA from 1 species
AUUGAACGCUGGCGGCAGGCUUAACACAUGCAAGUCGAGCGCGGGGGGGACGGGUGAGUAAUAUCUGGAACACUGCCUUAGGGAGGGGGAUCAAUACUAGAAACGAUCGCAUAUCGCGCAUACCCUCAGAUGUGCACAGAUGGGAUUAGCGAGUGGGUGGGGUAAUGGCUCACCUAGGCGACGAUCCCUAGCUGGUCUGAGGGGAUGAUCAGCCACACUGGAACUGAGACACGGCCCAGACUCCUACGGGAGGCAGCAGUGGGGAAUAUUGCACAAUGGGCGCAAGCCUGAUGCAGCCAUGCCGCGUGUGUGAAGAAGGCCUUCGGGUUGUAAAGUACUUUCAGUGAGGAGGCGUUACCCGCAGAAGAAGCACCGGCUAACUCCGUGCCAGCAGCCGCGGUAAUUC